ACAACAACAACAACAGAAGUUACAAGUCUGCCUGAAAUAUCAACAUUUCUUUCUUCAUCAGCCACAGUACUUCCUACUACAACUACAACCACAACUACAAGUA